AAGUUCGGUGACCUCUGCCCAGCCGAGAGCAGGGGAGGGUCCCGCGGCCAGGGCCCCGAGCGGCUCACCCUCCACGGCGUGGUUCACCUCUUGGAUGAACAGCUGCAGCUUCAUCACCAGGGUGGCUGCGUGGCCAUCCGCCUUCCCGGACGCCGCCUCCUUGGAGCCGGCCCUGAAGGCCGCAUUGAUCCACUCCUUCACGUCGAAGUCGUCUGCCAGGAACUUGGAGAAGUCCAUGGCGGAACUGCCUCAGGCCUGGCGUCCAGAACUUAAGAGUUGGCUCCGGGCGGCAACGGGGAUGCAGAAGCGAGCGAGCCUGCGAGAGCACCGAGGCUAGCCUCCGAGGCGAACCCCAGAAACGCCAGGACGGGUAACUUGCCCCUUUGCGCUUCCCCGCUCAGCGCACUCAGUUUGCGGCUGGGAAUGACCCUCGCCGCCCGCCGUUCUUCUUCCGGAAGUCGUUGGCCGUUACCAUAGUGACUGCAGGCGUCCGGAGCGCUGAGCAGAGGUGCAGUGGCUCAUGCCUGCAAUCCCAGCACUUUGGGAGGCCGAGGCAGGAGGAUCACAAGUCCCAGCUGCUAGGGAGGCUGAGGCAGGAUUGCUUGAGCCUGGGAAGCGGAGGUUGGAGGAAGCCGUGAUUGUACCACUGCAUUCCAGCCAGGGCAACAGAGCAAGACUCCAUCUCAAAAAUAAUUGUCCAUUUCAUCCAAGUUGUAUAAUUUGUUGGCAUAAAAUUGUUCAAAGGAUCCU
rnacentral:lncRNA from 1 species